AAGCUACCGGAUGUCCCGAGG
rnacentral:misc_RNA from 1 species